UACGAAGGGGGCUAGCGUUGUUCGGAAUUACUGGGCGUAAAGCGCACGUAGGCGGAUUAUUAAGUCAGGGGUGAAAUCCCGGAGCUCAACUCCGGAACUGCCUUUGAUACUGGUAAUCUAGAGACCGAGAGAGGUAAGUGGAACUCCUAGUGUAGAGGUGGAAUUCGUAGAUAUUAGGAAGAACACCAGUGGCGAAGGCGGCUUACUGGCUCGGAACUGACGCUGAGGUGCGAAAGCGUGGGGAGCAAAC
rnacentral:rRNA from 1 species